AAGUAAGAGAAAUAUUAAAAGACCAGUGUUAUUAGAUUCAUGGAGUGGCCACCUGGCUAACCUGGCUUUCUUUAUACUUAGCUUUAUGCAGUAUUUAAUAGCUUUGACAUUUGGGAGUGCUCUCUGUGAGUCCCUUGUUCUGUGCUGAGGAGUGUGGGGGGCCACAUUACCAACACUGAGUUUUACACCUUUUUUUUCCCUCUGACAGCUCUGCAUCAGAGGAUUAGAAACAAUUUACCUUUUGUCUUGCCAUUUGUUAAAGGAAUACCCUCCUACAACUUCACCUGAUCCUUUGCCCACAGCUGUGUCAGGUGCAAAUGGCUCCAGAUGUUGUCUGCACUGGAAGGCGCUUUGAUGUUCCUGGAUCUAUUUUUGGGAAGCAAGGCCUCAUGCUGACAGGUCCCCAGCUUGGUCCCCAGCUGAGUCCAGGCUUGUUUGUUUCUUAUGAUCAAAGCACAGACCCCUUCAGUAAGUGUAAUGUGGUGAUGAGAGAACAUUUACCCCUGCACAGCUAUACUGCACUCCCAGCCAAUAUCAGAUGUUGGCUGGGGUUGGUGUCAAGGACCCCGCAAAAUUUGAAGAUGAAGGGGGUUUGGGGCUUUGCUAAAUUAUAUACAUUUCUUCCUGGCUUUCAAUCAUAAAUUAGUAGAAUAUGGAACCUGUAUAGUUAAGAAUUUAUAAGAAAGCAUCCAGCACACACAGUGUCCCUGUAAAAGCACUAACAGAGUAGCCUUGCAGAAAUCACUGGAAGGCCUUCAGGACAAUGAGUGGUCAAAGACAGCAGAUAAACAGCAAUCAGAAAAUGGCAAAUAAUCCAGUGAUCUUGGCAAGCAAGUGCAUCUCAGAACAUGCAUAUAGGACAGAUGGCAAUAUGCCUUUCCAUGAUGUCUGGCUUAGAUCCUUUGCAUGAUGGAAAGCUGAAAGAAGUACGGGCAUUUAGCAUCGCGGGUUGCCUUUUCAAAUCUCUGCUUUUGUUAAAAUACAGCAGGAGGGUAAGCAGUAACAAGUCACUUCAUUCAUAGCUUGUUGAUCACACAGUGAAAAUAUUUGAUGAUAGAUGUGUGAGUGGAACUGGGGGCAAAGAAGAAUUGCCUAGAGAAAUGCUGCAAAAGCAAAUAUUCAACUUCCAUACGUGUUCUCUUUUGCAUUUCUGUCUCACACACAUUUAAAUAGUUUGAAACUUGUCUAGUCAGACCUUUCUUUACUUUAAUUCUGUGAAUUCUGGAAGAUGCUCACUGGGUCAUAAAAAUUAUGAGGGGGAAAAAUGCCCAGGUGAAGAUUUCUUAAAGUUUGCUUAGAGAAUGAAGAAAAGAGGGACAUGAGAGUUGUAGAAAGCAUUUGUUGCUGUUGGCUUUUUCAGAUUUCAGAGAAUACAGGUUUAGGCUGCAUUUCAAGU
rnacentral:lncRNA from 1 species